rnacentral:lncRNA from 1 species
AACGUCGACCAACAUCACGACCUCAACAUCGAUCGACGAUGUAGAAAAAAAGAUCACCAUGGAAGAUUUCUUGGACCUAGAAGAGUUCUUGGAGUUGGAGGAUGGAGAAAAGCUUGAAGACUUGGAUUCGAGUAGAGAAGUCACUAUGGAAGACUUCUUAGAGCUGGAGGAAUGGCUUGAAGAUAUGGAUCAGAAUUCAAAGAAGAAGCUUGAUGACGAUCAGCAUACUUUGAGAGGAGAUCUAGAAACUUCAAAGACUAGCAUCGAUCGACACCCACCUCACAUCAUCGAUCAACGCCCACCUCACAUCAUCGAUCAACGCCCACCCUAUAUCAUCGAUCAACGCCCACCCUAUAUCAUCGAUCUGCACCCACACUC